AGCAGACCGGUAAGGUCAGAUUAGAGGCCAAUCCCACCAGAUAUUAAGGGAUGAGCCUACCACAUGUUUGCCUCUCCAGCACCUGUCACCUAUGGAGGAAUCAAGAGCAUGUAGUAGCUGGUGAGUCUUGUACCAGAAGGUCAGUAAUUUACAGGCCAUUUUUUUUUGUGACAUGUUGGAAACUGAGCACUGAAGUGUUAAAUUGCAAAUUUUCAACCGUUCUUUAGGUACAAAUGUUUCACAUAGGGCCUCUUCCCAUUUCCCAUGAAGCUUGGAGUUGGUGACCUAUUCAUUGUAG